GACGAACGCUGGCGGCGUGCUUAACACAUGCAAGUCGAACGGAAAGGCCCUGCUUUUGUGGGGUGCUCGAGUGGCGAACGGGUGAGUAACACGUGAGUAACCUGCCCUUGACUUUGGGAUAACUUCAGGAAACUGGGGCUAAUACCGGAUAGGAGCUCCUGCUGCAUGGUGGGGGUUGGAAAGUUUCGGCGGUUGGGGAUGGACUCGCGGCUUAUCAGCUUGUUGGUGGGGUAGUGGCUUACCAAGGCUUUGACGGGUAGCCGGCCUGAGAGGGUGACCGGCCACAUUGGGACUGAGAUACGGCCCAGACUCAUACGGGAGGCAGCAGUGGGGAAUAUUGCACAAUGGGCGGAAGCCAGCUGCAGCAACGCCGCGUGCGGGAUGACGGCCUUCGGGUUGUAAACCGCUUUCGCAUGUGACGAAGCGUGAGUGACGGUAAUGGGUAAAGAAGCACCGGCUAACUACGUG
rnacentral:rRNA from 1 species